GUGAGUUUGGGCGGUCUUCACUUAGCAGUCCCAAGGGAUAACUCCAUUCAGUGGCCAGCUGGGAUUGAGGGCAAUUUCCUGACCACCCUCUCAAGAGUGACAGGCACAGAUCAGGGUGGGACUAUAUCACUGCUCUCACCUCCAUGCUCGGGGUAGGAAGCCCUCCCUUUUUCUUCCUAGAACAUAACCUGGGAACUUUUAUUUCCUGAACUGCUCUUGCCUCCCCCCAAGAAAAGAUGCAGGCUCAGUGGAAGCAUCUCAAAUGCUGAAUUCGAGAUGUGGCCCACCAGCUGGCCCUGACUAAGUUUGUUAUAUGGGAGAGAGUUUCAUUUUCUUGAUAUAAGUCCCUCUGCAGAUGUGAAAAGGACUGGGGGGGGGAGGGAUGGGAAACGAAGGACCAAAUCCUCUCUCAGCAGAAGACCACAGCUAAAGUUCCACUCAGAUGCAGAAAGCAUCAACAAAUCCCACGUCUCCACAAAUCCAGAAGAUGAAAUGCUUGUGCUGCUGUAGGCUGCUCCUUUGGAUGGCAGUUCUCUGGGACAGUCAGCAUCUUACGACAAAAGACAGAUAUUCUCUGAAAGGGAGACCAGAAUAUAACCGUUUUCUCCUCCUUCCUUUCCUCUCUGCAGGUUUUCCUACGGAUGAAGAUACUUUUACCUCUUAGUAGGUGUUCAAAACCAGGAUGACAAGGAAAACAGCCCAACUGCUAUUUUUUGUCCCAGCAUUUGCAUUGCACUUCCACUAUUUGCACUGGGCAUGUUUAAACAUGUCCAGGUUUUAUUAUUUUUUUUUUUUUAAAGGGGUUUCCCAGUUCAUCUGGAGCAACAGCAUUCAGAUGUUUCAUCAGUUACUGCCUGGGUGGGAAAAUAGAUCACUACCUAAACUCUGAGCAGGCCUUUUCAUGGCAGGGUUAGAUAGAUCUCAUCAGUGUAGUGGAUCUGAUCGAUAAAAAGUAUUUAAUAGUUUUCUACCAGCUAGCUGCUAGGGGCAUGACGAUGAUUCAGUUUGGAAUAUGUGAGCACAAGUUUCAUAACAAAGUAACAUCCAGCAAUAAAUUAUCAGUUUUUAAGGACAGGUGAUGGAAAUUUAAAGAUUAAUGCUUUAUAGUUGUUCUAGUAUGUUUAAUAAAAAUAGCUGAAAUAAUUUCAAAUAAUCUAAUGCAUUAAUAUUUGCUUCUGGAAUGAAAUAUUACAACAGAAUUAAUAUUAAAUUGAAUUUUAUAUAUUA